rnacentral:ribozyme from 1 species
UGUCCAGCAACUCCUAUCCCUACCUCCAACGAUUCAAGGUACCGGCCGGAAACUAUGACCAACCUUAGGGAAGAUCGGAUAAUUAACCCUGGUGGGAACUUUGGUCGUAGGCUGACAGGGAAGG